rnacentral:rRNA from 1 species
UACGGGGGGGGCAAGCGUUGUUCGGAAUUACUGGGCGUAAAGGGCUCGUAGGUGGCCAACUAAGUCAUACGUGAAAUCCCUCGGCUUAACCGGGGAACUGCGUCUGAUACUGGAUGGCUUGAGAUUGGGAGAGGGAUGCGGAAUUCCAGGUGUAGCGGUGAAAUGCGUAGAUAUCUGGAGGAACACCGGUGGCGAAGGCGGCAUCCUGGACCAACAUUGACACUGAGGAGCGAAAGCCAGGGGAGCAAACGGG